GUUACUUCAGCUGCACAUAUACUAAAAUUGGAACAAAAUAGAGUAGAUUAGCAUGGCCCCUGUGCAAGCAUGACAUGCAAAUUCAUGAAACAUUCUAUAAUUAA
ensembl:snRNA U6 U6 spliceosomal RNA